UACGUAGGGUGCAAGCGUUAAUCGGAAUUACUGGGCGUAAAGCGUGCGCAGGCGGUUAUGCAAGACAGAUGUGAAAUCCCCGGGCUCAACCUGGGAACUGCAUUUGUGACUGCAUAGCUGGAGUGCGGCAGAGGGGGAUGGAAUUCCGCGUGUAGCAGUGAAAUGCGUAGAUAUGCGGAGGAACACCGAUGGCGAAGGCAGUCCCCUGGGCCUGCACUGACGCUCAUGCACGAAAGCGUGGGGAGCAAACAGG
rnacentral:rRNA from 1 species